UUCACUUAAACGUUCUUUAGUCGGUAAGCUUGAAGGCAGGAGAGCGUCCCUGAGAUUAAAGGAACAUCCACUCUCAGCUCAUAAAGGCGAUGUUCUGUUAUCUGCUCCUCUAUCUCCUUCAUUCUCUCUCGUCAUGGGCUUCUAUAUAUUAGUGGUAAUAGCCUGUUUUGUUAAUUAUCAUGGAUGUCUUUGAUACAUAUCUUGACACGCUCCUUGAGGCAUAAAGAAAGUGCAUGUGCAGCAACAGAAAGGGAAGGAAGCUUUUAAGCAUUAAUGAACUUCUUUUUUUUUGCACUUAUCACUAUGUCUGCCCUUAAAUAGAAGCCUUUAACUUUCGAUUAUAUUUUGAGUUAUAUUGAGGAAAACAACAUUUUGGUCUCUCUUGUAUUAAAGUUUAUAUAUAUUAUAAUACUGCUGAUAUUUUUUUUUACAUGUAAUAUUAAAAAAAGUGUAUGUUUAUUUAUAAUAUAUUCAUUUUAAUUUUAUUGUGUGUGUGUGUGUAUACCUUUAUUUUAUAUUGUGUUAUUUAUUUAUUUUGACCUUUUUUACUAUUUUAUAUUAUAUAUUCUGCAUGAGCGUCCAAUGAGCAUUGAGCAACCCUCAGCUGGAUCCAAUCACUUUGAGGACUGACACACCUCCUCAUGGGCGGCUCUCUAAGCUCAGCAGUGCCUGUCGGGCACCGUCGUUUUUGGCUCUGUUUGCCAGCUGUACCUGGGCCACGAGCCGAACACUGGCAGGUUCUGCUGAAGAAGCCCUGAAGACAGACAUGAGCAGUCAGAAUUCACCAAAGGCUGGGCGGACCUGUUGACAGCUACAUGGAAUAUGGGCGGAAUACAAGCAAGAGAGGGAGGGCAAACAGAGGGUGUGCUGUGAGAGGCAUCUUUAUCAAAGCAAACACCCCUCUUUUUUGGAGGAGGAGCAGAAAAACCAAACACACACUCUGUAUUCUUCCACAAACCCCAAAAUACCUUCAUUUACCAAUCCAGUCAGGCCAUUCAUGGAAAUCCUUAUGAUAUCAUCUCAGCAAACACAACAACAACAAAUUAUUCUUUUAAUAAUAAUUAUUAAUAUUCUUAUGUGCAUCAUUGUAUUGUUUUUAUUAUAUAAAAGUCUACAUGAAACUUU